ensembl:snRNA LOC120096081 U1 spliceosomal RNA
AUGCUUGCCCGGCUGAGCCGAGAUGAUCCAGAAGGCGGUUUCCAAGGGCGAGGCUCCUCCAUGGCACUUGGGGUAUGCCGAUUACCCUUGGGAUCCUCCCAAAUGCAAGAAAUUCAGCUGCGAAGUUCGUGGUAAUUGGUGACUGUGUUCAUGCUCUUCCCUA